UCAAUUUCCCGUCGUGAAUCCAUCGAGAAUAUUUUUAAUACUGAAUAGUAUCUCGGUCCUCCCCAAAGUUCAGUUCGUCUACGCCAUUUCCCCCAAAUUCAUUUCAGUUGCCCAACGCCAUCGCCGGAGUCCGCUGCCGCCGUUCGCCACCUGCCGGAGUCGAUCUGCUGCCUCUCCCUCCCUCGACGUUCACCAUCGAUCUUUCCCGUUCGUCGCGCCGUCCGCCGAAGUCCCUUGCUUCUGUCUGCCGCUGCCUCGCCCCCUGCUGGACCUCCUCUCUCUCUCUCUCUCACUCAAAUUUGAAAGGUGCCUUCAAAAACCAGUUCCUCAGGAGCAGCUCCGCGGAUUUCUCCUCACUCUAUUUCAUCUGAGGUGUCGGGGAAGAGCUCCCCUCAAUCAGCUCCCUCCGAGGCAUCCAGGAAACAUUCUCCACGAGCUGCCCGCCAGCUCAAGACAAGUCCACGUUUUUUAGAGCCCACCAUCUCUUCUUCUAACCUAGCAACUCGAGCGCCAAAAGAGGCGAGCCUUAGAGUUUCUGAUCACAACUCGCCUGCAAGUCCGCUCUCUGAGGCUGAGGUGGGUGAAUUACUUAGGGCCUAACCUGAGGAAGAAGGCAUCAUUAUCGAACUUCAUGCCCUUUGGGGUAACAAAUGGUCUACCAUAGCAAGAUACCUACCUGGACGAACAGACAAUGAGAUAAAGAACUAUCGGAGAACUCAUUUCAAGACUAGAAGCCCAUCCACUCAUAUCAAGAAGCGCAAAAUUCUCAACCAACAACAAACUCAUGUUGGAUUUGUUGAGUUUGGAAUCUUUGGAUUUAUGUAGUUACUAUGGAGUUAAGAUUUAUGAUACUUGAUAUUUAACUUAAUUUAAAUUUGUAGGUAUAUUGAAUUUGGAUGUUUAUUACAUUAAGUAUGUUUGAAUUUGGAUGUUUAUUAUAAGUAUAUUUGAAUUCGAAUA